AGGUUUUUGUGUCAGAUGUCACAUUUCGCUCAAGUGCAUCGAAUUGUGCAGUCCCGGAAAAUCGCAGAUUUAUUAAAUUUGUCGUUUAGUCAUCAACGACACGUUUACCAGAAACAUGGAGAACAAUAUGAGUAAAUUGGUUGUAUAUCUGAUGAUUACUGUUUCAUUGAUAUCAACAUUCACUUUGUCCGUGAGUGCGCAAUGUCCAAAAGGAUUCGCAAAAUAUCGUAGAAUAUGUAUCCCGAGGGGUUAAAAGAGAUUACGAGAAAAACGUCUGACAGCAACAUAUCAAUCUGAAUGCUCGUAUAAAGCAAUAAAACAAGAAAAUAAUAAGUGAAAUGUCCAAAUAUAUAAAUGUAUAUGUGCUGCUAUAAAUAAAUGCUGUCAAUUAUUAUA